GUGGUGGAGGUGAAACAGGGUACAUAUGGCAUGGCAGCCACUACACCACCAUAACAAGAACAGAAGCUAAAAGCAACUUUAGCUACUCUCAACUAAAUGAAAAUUGCAGCAGGUGCUGUUUGGUUAGCUGCUUUCGUUGCCACGUGUCCCCAAUGCAACACAAAACUGAUACACUUGUAGAUCUAAUGGUCUCGCUCGGUACAAUGGAUGGGAUCAGAAUGGACAAACAACUGUUUAUCAAGAUAUGCUGAAAGAAGAAAUGAAAUUUUUUGAACCAACUUGAAGAUAGUAGAUGAAUUAUUCAAGAAAAUCAAAUUGAAAUGGAAGGAUCCAUUUCAAUUCUCCUCAAAAUGGGAGGACGAGGGAGAAGUUCUUAAUGCAUGUUUAAUCCUUUUCCAAUCGCUUCAAAGUACCUCAAAUUUCGAAAGUUAUUCAUUUUAAUUUAAUUAUUUAUAUCAAGCAAGACCAAUAUUUUUUAAUACAGAUGAGCUUUACAUAUUAUAAAUCGCUACUUUUAUAAAUUAAUGUGUCAGUAAGUUAGUUUUGUGUGUUGAAUAAUUUUAUUCUCUAUUAUCGCAUUGUUUUAGUUUGCAAGGAAAACUUACCUACUCAAUACUUCAAUUUGAUCGUCACGCAUAUUUUUUACAAAACAGUGCUUGAUUAAUAUGAUUUACAAUAAUCCCGUGGCAUGAAAGUCUUCUACACUACGUCACUUUUCCGUGAAUCAGUUGGAGGGUGAUUCAUGUGCAUGUAAUAAUCAGUUGAAGGGCGGUGGUGGGAAUUAUAAUGAUCUGUCCUUCUAGUGCUUUUUUGUUGGUAAAAUAUAUUUAUACCAUAUGCCGACCUCAGAACCACAUUAACUAAUCCGAGUUAUUCAAUUCAGAGUAAUGUUACAUUAUCACAUUUUUUUGUAUUAUAUUCGUGUCAUCUCUUUACGAGAAGUUUUCGUGUUUUGAGAAAUGGCCUGUACACUAAGUGUAUAAUACAAAUGGUUAGAUAUUUGAAAUAAAAAUUUUAACCACUUGUAUUGCAACACUUGGUUACCAAACCAUAUUCAUGGUACAUUGAAAAAUUUCUCUAAUCGAAACAAAACCUACCAAUGCAUGUAGGUCCCUUCUCUAUUACGUAUAGUAAAAAUAUCAUUUUUGUUAAAACAUGUGAAUAGGUCAUGUCAUCAUGGAAGUGCAAGUGCAAUUGUGCAUAUCCAUCAAACUCCAUUAUAAAUACCCACUCACCCGCAUGCAAAAAAAACCUAACUCACACAUACUACCUUUCACACAACCUAACCGAAAAUGCUGUUCAAUACUUUUCACUUCACGCUCUUCCUUCUUCUUUUGAUCGCUGCCGCUUCUUAUUCUAGGGAAAUCUCCUCAAGGAAGAACGAGGAGACCCCAAGCAGCGGUAGUGGUUCAGCCUUCGGGCCGAACUGGGGCUAUAAUUGGGGGUGGAGUACGACCCCGGAUGGCGGAUCGGGUUAUGGGUCAGGAUCCGGGAGGUCGCCAACUGGGUUUGGAAGGGGGUACGGUUUUGGGUUUGGUUCUGGGGGUGGACAUGGCUCUGGGUCAGGCUACGGGUCUGGGAGUGGUGGAGCUCAAGGCGGCGGCUAUGGGUCUGGGGGUAGUGGAGCUCAUGGUGGCAGCUAUGGGUCUGGGGGUGGUUAUGGAAAUUCAGGAGGUGAAGGUGGUGGUGGAGGUUGAGGUUGAGGAAGAAACAAGCACGGCUGAUAAGAUAUUGGCCGAGAGUUUAGGGUUUCAUGAGCCCCAGAGGCCAGUGUGUAGUGUGUACUAUGAUAACCAUAUUAUAACUAGCUAGAUAUACAUGUGUGUAAGCUUUUCAAUAAAUAAUCACAAGACUUUGACAAAGAAUAUAAGUAUUGCUAGUAUAUUUAUAUUUUCGAGUGGCAGUUCAUAGUUUGUUGAGUUGCCAAUUCUCUGGCUUAUGUUUGUGAAAUGAUCACUUUUUGUCUACUAAUAUUUCUCUUUAGACCAUCUGCAAUAGCUGGGCUAAAAGCCAAAUAUAUUAACCUGGAAAAUUUAUUUUUUAGCUCAUAAACAGUUUUUCUGCUCCAACCGUUCUAGCCUAAAAUUUUAGCCUGAAAUUAUUAAAGAAUGAAUUUAGGCUAUUUUUUUUGUUAAAUUAAUUUAAAAAAAUAAAAAUAAAUAUGUAGACUAUCGUAAAUUAAUUUUAUGAAUAUUUUAAUCUAAAAAAAUUUAAAUUCCGAUAAUUAUUGAAAAAUCACUCAAUUUUCCACAAAGAAAGCCUUCAACUUUCACCAAUCUUUCAACCCUAGGUGAAUUUUGAGUUAAAUAAUUUUUUUUAAUUAUUUUAGCCGUUGGAUUUAAAUUUGGGCCGUUAGAUCUUCUUUUUUUACCGUUAGAUUUGAUUAAAUUCGAUCUCAGUCGUUGGAUUCAAUAAUAUAUAAAUAUAAAAACAAAAAAAAUUGAAUCUAGGCCAUUGGAUUAACCAACGGCCUGUAGAUCGUGAUCGUUGGAUGGAAGUAGCCGUUGGAGGCGCUGCGGAACGUGGCCGACAGGCCCACGUGGGCAGGGCCCUAGCUGUUUGAGGCGUCGUGCGUUGCGCUAGUUGGGCGAGUGGGUGGGCUGCGUUUGGUGCACAAACGCCCCUUUUCACUCGGUUCGAUGGAGCCCACUCCGAUUUCUGGGCUAAGUUUUGGAGGGAAUCUGGUCUUGGUUUAGCAUUUAGCAUUUAGCCCAAAUUUUCCCCUUGGGUUGGAUUGGGUUUGUGGGGAAAUUUUUGGAGGUAAUUUGAUUUUUAGCCCACCAUUGGAGUUGGUCUUAAAAUACUAAAAGAAAGUUUCACAUUUGACUAACCCUUUUUUCAUAUACUUCGUCUAAUUUUGUUGUAGCUAUUUGGGUUAUAUCACUAAUUGCUUUUGGUCGAUAUACUUAUAUUUUUCUUCUCAGAAUUGAAAGAAACCUUCAAGUUUGGAUCAACGACGCUUUUGGUAAACUUUUUUGUAAAAAUACUUUUGAAAAAAAAAAAACCGUAUUAUAGUGUUUGGUAAACUUUUAUUUAAAACAGAUGUGAAAAAAAACCGGUUUUUCAAAGCUGGGUUUUGCAGCUUCUUGUUUUUGGUUUUUUUUCACCCAAAACUGUGAAAAAAGCUGAAGCUGAAUGUUUACCAAAUACAAAAAAUCUCUCAGCUUUUUUUUUAUACCAGUUUUUUUCAGAAUCACCUUAGUACCAAACCAGGCCAUAGUACCCUGUGGAUAAACAAAAAUGUUACUCUUAUUACCUAUUUGUACCAUCUCUCUAAUAGAAACGGAAGCCACAUGCGUUGAUGGGGCUUAACUCUAUUAGUGAGAUGGUGGAGCUGGUGGAGGUGGAGGUUGAAGAAGAAACAACCACGGCUGAUGAGAUAUUGGAUGAGAGUUUAGGGCUUCAUGAGCCCCAGAGGCCAGUGUGUAGUGUGUACUAUGAUAAAGCAUAUUAUAACUAGCUAGAUACAUGUAUGUAAGCUUUUCAAUCAAUAUUCACAAGACAUUGACAAAUAAUAUAAAGCAUUGCUGGUAUAUUUAAUAUUUUCGUGUAGUAGUUCAUAGUUUGUUGAGUUGCCACUUCUCUCGCUUAUGUUUUUCAUUUAGCGGAUAAUUUUCAGUCGAUUGAUAAUUUUUUGAAGAAAUUAGGUUCCUAUUCCUAUUUUUUCUAUUUCAUUAAUUAAAACUCUUAUUUAUUUUCAAAUUUUUAUCAAGGUCAUUGGGUUUUAAUAAACGUCACUAGUUAUUUUAAAAUAAAAUAUUUACAUGUCAAGAUAAUUAAAUUUUAUUUUUAAAUAUAUUCAUUUAGUGUCAAAACUUUUUCUUUUGGUAUAUUUAUAUUUAUGGCUAAAAUUUUUAUCAUAUAUUUCUAUUUUGUACCCAUUUUUAGUUUGCAACCUUUUUUUAAAUUGUACCAAUUUUCUUUUAAAUUUUAAUUUGUACCCAUAUAUUAAUUUCUUUUUGUCCCUUAUUUUUUAAACUUUUAUUUGUACUCAAAAUAUUUUUAACCUUUUAUGACACACCCCGUCCCGAAGGAGGGCAUGCUGGCCGUCACGUGAGAGUGACGUAACCAUUUACACAGUACGGAAGCUUUAAGAUACAAUUUAUAAGUUGAUACACCCGAAGGUGAGUCCUAAUUUUGUCCAAUCUGUCAGAACACUGUCAAAUUCCUCGUAGUCACCACACCUUUGUGAUUCCUGAACCUGGAGGGGCGCAAAACCAAAAUUGAGUGGGUCAGUAAAACAAUUCUUUUCAAAUCCAACUUUUCUCAAAACAUUGUAACCCUUCUCCGUAAAACCUGUAUACUUUCCCAGAAAUAUAAAAUAUAAAUAUACAUAUAUAUAUUCUCAAUACUUCAAGUCAUUAACUCAACAUUUUCAUCAUAAUUAUGCCAUGCCACAUCAUCUCAACAUUUCUCAUAUUAAUUAUGCCAUGCCACAUCAUCUCAACAGUAAUA
rnacentral:lncRNA from 1 species